AUUUACAAUAGAAAAUGGAUAAUACUUUGACGUUCACAGCCUGUAUAUACAAUUUUGUAUACGCUUCAUCGGCAUCAAUACAUUGCGUAUAAAACAGAUAUAUACGACGCAGAAGCUUUCAAACUCUGGAAAAUUAAAUAGUAUAUAAUGAAUCAAUUUGCUCUGUAUGAUCGUCAGCCGCGUCUGCGAUCUCAUUAUCACAAACAGCAGAAUACGGCUAUCUCGGGGCUUGAGAGCGUACCAAAGCGAUUCAUAUGUCGCAUCACCGAUUGUUCUGCUCUAGAAUACAAACGAGGGACAAGUACAUGGAGAGGAUAGAAGGACGAAAAACACGAGAAGUCAUCUUCAGAAGCGACACUCGCGAACGUAGCGUUUUCUUCAUACUCACUUUAUUGCUGAGAUAUUCGCCGGAGAAACAAAAAAUAAAUGCCUCCAAAACGAUAGCGAUGUAGAAAAAUGCAGUCUUUAUCAACAUUCUGACGCCUUCAUUUGUGCCUAAUGACUGUAAGCCAG